rnacentral:piRNA from 2 species
UUCCAGAGGUCCUGAGUUCAAUUCCCAGC